AAAAGUUUUGCUUGUUAUAAACCAAGGUCUAGUGGAAGCCCAUAUUCGGAGGCCCAUAUUCUUAUGUCUUUGUAUUUUCUAGCCAAUAUUGUAUUAGGGUUUCAUACUUAUGUAAUUCCCUAUAUAAAGGGCUCCUUAUUGUCUAAUAAAGAUAUAGACUUUCCCCUUAUUUUCAUAACACGUUAUCAUCACGAUAGCCUCUAUCCCUAAGCCCCCACGAAAUAUUCUUCAACUCAGCCGAAAAUCAUCAAA
rnacentral:lncRNA from 1 species